GACGAACGCUGGCGGCGUGCUUAACACAUGCAAGUCGAGCGGUAAGGCCCUUUCGGGGGUACGACGAGCGGCGAACGGGUGAGUAACACGUGGGUGACCUGCCCUUAGCUCUGGGAGUAAGCCUGGGAAACUGGGUCUAAUACCGGAUAUGACUCCAUGACGCAUGUUGUGGGGUGGAAAGCCUUGUGCGGCUAGGGAUGGGCCCGCGGCCUAUCAGCUUGUUGGUGGGGUGAUGGCCUACCAAGGCGACGACGGGUAGCCGGCCUGAGAGGGCG
rnacentral:rRNA from 1 species